rnacentral:piRNA from 1 species
UGAAAAUGUUGGUGGAAAGAUUAGGAAGAAU